ensembl:lncRNA
GGCACUUUCCCGUGCUUUCUUUCCAACGUGACACCAUCACACCAGGGACAGAGCUGGAGCGCCAUGAAGACUAGGAAGGACAACUCAUCCACCUGUGACCUCAGGAUGAAAUCUCCUAACAGGAAAAACCUGUGACCUCAUGAUGAAAUCUCCUAACAGGAAAAACCUGUGACCUCAGGAUGAAAUCUCCUAACAGGAAAAACCUGCAGUAUCGCCCACCCCCACUGUUUCCAAACACCCAGACAGGGCGGCAUCUGAGGUUCUUCAAUCAAGGGCACUUGAAUGAAUGGAUGGGAAGGAAGGUGGCAAGGCAGAAGGAAGUUUAAAUGAAAAACAACUACACCAAAACAUGCCAGACCUAGGGGUUCCUAGAAGUCAAGGAAGACAAGAGACAACCUUUCCAGAGCAUUUACUGUGCUCCUGACGCCAGGGGUCGGUCCAGGAGCAGGACAAAAAGGACAAGACAUCCUCCCAUCCUGGCGCCCCCACUGAGCACUCUUCCCCGAGUGCCAGACAGCUGGCGCAGUUCCACGGGCUCAUGCUGUCAACAGGAUCAGCGAGACCUCACGGAGAAGCCUCUAGCACAGCAAGCGGCUCGGCCGAGACGCUGCCGCCUGCUUCUGUGCACCCAGCAUCCCCCACCCAUCCCAGGAGACAAGAAACGCCUUACGGGGGAAUCACAGAAUAAAACUAGAGCGGGGCAGCACCAGAGACGAACGCACAUCUGGUCUGUAUCCGCCUGACAUAAAAUUCUGAGAUCUAAACACAGAUGAGCUCGAGACGGGCCCUUUUAUUUCUACAGCAGUCGCGGUAAUCCACCCUUGUAGAGAUCUAGCUCAGCUGGGUCUGUCUGCUCUGACAGCAGGAAUACUGGCUUGUAGAUAUAUCCCUUGGACACCCCAGGUCUCUAAAGUAUACAGACAACUCUGUACACACAGCCCUUUUAACUCUGUGCAGACAACCUUUUUAACUCUGAUGGAUAGAUUAUUUUAAAUAUUAUUACUUCUUUCCAAGCAUUAUUAGCAUCUUUUUAAAAAAUAGAUCAUUUAUCACUUAAGUCAGUAUCUUCAAAGUCCUGUCCGACUUCCAGGCCUUACUCUGGGCCCUGUCACUGCUAUAAAUACAUGAUAUAAUAA